CCUACGGGUGGCAGCAGUGAGGAAUAUUGGUCAAUGGACGAGAGUCUGAACCAGCCAAGUAGCGUGAGGGAUGACUGCCCUGUGGGUUGUAAACUUCUUUUAUAUGGGAAUAAAAUGUUCCACGUGUGGGCUUUUGUAUGUACCAUAUGAAUAAGGAUCGGCUAACUCCGUGCCAGCAGCCGCGGUAAUACGGAGGAUCCGAGCGUUAUCCGGAUUUAUUGGGUUUAAAGGGAGCGUAGGUGGAUUGUUAAGUCAGUUGUGAAAGUUUGAGGCUCAACCGUAAAAUGGCAGUUGAAACUGGCAGUCUUGAGUACAGUAGAGGUGGGCGGAAUGCGUGGUGUAGCGGUGAAAUGCUUAGAUAUCACGAAGAACUCCGAUUGCGAAGGCAGCUCACUGGACUGCAACUGACACUGAGGCUCGAAAGUGUGGGUAUCAAACAGGAUUAGAUACCCGGGUAGUC
rnacentral:rRNA from 1 species